GAAAGGACCUAACUACAUAUGCAACCAAUUGAGGGUGUAAUUACCACCUCUUAUAAUCACAACUUUCAGUAUACACCUUCAAUAAGCAACAGCAUGUUUACUAUUCUUGCUGUCCGUUAGCUUCAGUAGCCGUACUGCUCAUUUCAGGUCCUUCAUCCGCAGAUUUCAUUUCGUUCAGGUUGCUUGGUUUCGCCUUGUUCCGAUCACGCCAACCAAGGCCGAACGAUAGUAGACCUGUCCUUUUUGCUGGUGCACCUUGCGGAGAAUCUGGUUUUGUCGCCCGUGGGGAAGAUAGAGCUUUGACUUGACCAGAUUCAUAUUGCAAGGUAGCUUCAAGCAUCGAUUCAGCCAUGACAACUCUCUUCUCCAUCUGAGCAACAGAAGCCAUAGCCUUUUCAUACUUUUCCUGAAGAACGUGUACUGCAUACUUUUGAGCUGCCACAUCCUGCUCGGCAGCAAUCCUAGCAUCUUCUGUUACCUUCUGUUCUUGCUCAACCCGCAUCAAAACCUCAAGCAUUGCUU
rnacentral:misc_RNA from 1 species